UAGAACUGGCGGCGGUGGAGAAUGGACCGGCGGUGGUGGUGGGGAGAAUGUCGCUGGAGGCGGUGAGUGAACCGGUGCCGGAGGUGGUGGAGAAUGAACUGGUGCUGGAGGAGGAGGAGAAUGGACUGGCGCCGGUGGAGGGGGAGAUUUUGUCGGCACUGGUGAUGGUGGUGGAGGGCGCCCCAUUCCGCCACUAGCAAGCAAAUGUGGGUCUUCUUCGUUUGGUGUGGGCGGUGUUACCGGUGGAGGCGGUGAGUGAACCGGUGUCGGAGGUGGUGGUGAAUGGACUGGUGGCGGUGGUGAGUGAACCGGUGCCGGAGGUGGUGGUGAAUGGAUUGGUGCCGGUGGCAGUGGAGGAGGAGAAUGGACUGGCAUCGGUGGAGGGGGAGAUUGUGUC
rnacentral:lncRNA from 1 species